rnacentral:rRNA from 1 species
UACGAAGGGGGCUAGCGUUGCUCGGAAUGACUGGGCGUAAAGGGCGCGUAGGCGGAUGGCACAGUCAGAUGUGAAAUUCCCGGGCUUAACCUGGGGCUGCAUUUGAUACGUGUGAUCUAGAGUGAGGAAGAGGGUCGUGGAAUUCCCAGUGUAGAGGUGAAAUUCGUAGAUAUUGGGAAGAACACCGGUGGCGAAGGCGGCGACCUGGCCCGAAUAACUGACGCUGGAGGCACGAAAGCGUGGGGAGCAAACAGGA